rnacentral:rRNA from 1 species
GUGUGAGCUUAAGCUGGUCGGCCGUCAUGGUCUGUACCGUUUAGGUCACACUACAAUGUAGGAUACUCACCUCUGUUCUUAACUGGAUGGAGGUAAAAGAGUAGAUUUUAUGGGGGAGAUUGAUUGAAAGGGAAACUUUUCUUUCUUUUUUUUCUUUAUUUUCUAUUUGGGGUUCCUACUCUUUUACUUUGAGCAAAUUAGAGUGUUCAAAGCAGGCAAUCGAGCCUUGAAUACUUCAGCAUGGGAUAAUGGAACAGGACUGGGGUCCUGAUUUCGUUGGUUUCUAGGAUCUCAGUA